rnacentral:rRNA from 1 species
GUAGGUGGCAAGCGUUGUCCGGAAUUAUUGGGCGUAAAGCGCGCGCAGGCGGUCCUUUAAGUCUGAUGUGAAAGCCCACGGCUCAACCGUGGAGGGUCAUUGGAAACUGGGGGACUUGAGUACAGAAGAGGAAAGCGGAAUUCCAAGUGUAGCGGUGAAAUGCGUAGAGAUUUGGAGGAACACCAGUGGCGAAGGCGGCUUUCUGGUCUGUAACUGACGCUGAGGCGCGAAAGCGUGGGGAGCAAACAGGGAUUAGAUACCCUGGUAGUCCACGCCGUAAACGAUGAGUGCUAAGUGUUAGGGGGCUUCCGCCCCCUUAGUGCUGCAGCUAACGCAUUAAGCACUCCGCCUGGGGAGUACGGCCGCAAGGCUG